UUUUGGACAAUGGGGGAAACCCUGAUCCAGCAAUGCCGCGUGAGUGAAGAAGGCCUUCGGGUUGUAAAGCUCUUUUGUCACCCCAGAAACACCGGCUCUAACACAGUCCGGGAAUGACGGUACCUGAAGAAUAAGCACCGGCUAACUACGUGCCAGCAGCCGCGGUAAUACGUAGGGUGCGAGCGUUAAUCGGAAUUACUGGGCGUAAAGCGUGCGCAGGCGGUUAUACAAGACAGGCGUGAAAUCCCCGGGCUUAACCUGGGAAUGGCGCCUGUGACUGUAUAGCUAGAGUGUGUCAGAGGGGGGUAGAAUUCCACGUGUAGCGGUGAAAUGCGUAGAUAUGUGGAGGAAUACCAAUGGCGAAGGCAGCCCCCUGGAGUUUUCAGCUGACGCUCAUGCACGAG
rnacentral:rRNA from 1 species